rnacentral:ncRNA from 1 species
GAGAACUACUAGCAACCGCUUAAAACUCAAAGGACUUGGCGGUGCCCUAGACCCUCCUAGAGGAGCCUGUUCUAUAAUCGAUAAACCCCGAUAUACCUCACCCCUUCUCGCUCAACAGUCUAUAUACCGCCAUCGUCAGCUCACCCCAAUAGGGGCCCAAAGUGAGCAAAAUCAUCAAAUCAUAAAAACGUUAGGUCAAGGUGUAACAUAUGAAGGGGGAAGUAAUGGGCUACAUUUUCUAUACUAGAGCAUAACGAAUUGUCAACUGAAAUAAGACCAUGAAGGAGGAUUUAGUAGUAAAUUAAGAAUAGAGAGCUUAAUUGAAUAGGCAAUAGGGUGCGUACACACCGCCCGUCACCCUCCUCAAUAAAGUAACUUUUAAUACCUAAUUACAAUACACCAAAAAGAGGAGAAAAGUCGUAACAUGGUAAGUGUACUGGAAAGUGUACUUGGACAACCAAAAUG